rnacentral:tRNA from 1 species
UCCAGUUCAGUUGGUAGAGCACGAGACUCUUGAUCUCAAUGGGUUCAAACCCCACGUUGGGCA